AAACCAACAGGGAUUGCCUUAGUAGCGGCGAGUGAAGCGGCAAAAGCUCAAAUUUGAAAUCUGGCUCUUUCAGAGUCCGAGUUGUAAUUUGAAGAAGGUAUCUUUGGGUCUGGCUCUUGUCUAUGUUUCUUGGAACAGAACGUCACAGAGGGUGAGAAUCCCGUGCGAUGAGAUGAUCCAGGCCUAUGUAAAGUUCCUUCGAAGAGUCGAGUUGUUUGGGAAUGCAGCUCUAAGUGGGUGGUAAAUUCCAUCUAAAGCUAAAUAUUGGCGAGAGACCGAUAGCGAACAAGUACAGUGAUGGAAAGAUGAAAAGAACUUUGAAAAGAGAGUGAAAAAGUACGUGAAAUUGUUGAAAGGGAAGGGCUUGAGAUCAGACUUGGUAUUUUGUAUGUUACUUCUUCGGGGGUGGCCUCUACAGUUUAUCGGGCCAGCAUCAGUUUGGGCGGUAGGAGAAUUGCGUUGGAAUGUGGCACGGCUUCGGUUGUGUGUUAUAGCCUUCGUCGAUACUGCCAGCCUAGACUGAGGACUGCGGUUUAUACCUAGGAUGUUGGCAUAAUGAUCUUAAGUCGCCCGUC
rnacentral:rRNA from 1 species